GAAGGGUACGCGGUUUGUUUAGUGUUUAAAUGAAACAUUUUGUUUGAUUCGCGUUCGAUGUAACGUAUUUUUCAUCUGUCCUAGAGUUAGAAAAGUAAGGAGCUGCUCUGAGGUUUGAAUAUUUUAAGUAGGAAGUGGCAUAAUGGCAAUUUAGGAUGUAGCUGACGGCCAACGAAGAGCUUUCCAUCUUUAACUUAACCAAAGAAUCCUCAUGCCUAAUAUAAUGAGCUUGCGAGAGUCUGGGUCAGCAAGAUUAUAUUAAUUAGCACGAGAAUGGAACUUUGCUAUGUUGAGAACACCUUCAUAAGGUAAAAUAAUGUUGGAAUAAAGUUAUGGUGAAAAAAUAAA